GCCUGGGUGGCUCAGUCAGUUAAGCGUCCGACUUCGGCUCAGGUCAUGAUCUCACAGCUCGUGGGUUCAAGCCCCACAUCGGGCU
rnacentral:tRNA from 1 species